UGGCGUCAGAAUUCGACACGAGGACAUGAGAUGUUUAUCGCUAUGAAAUCACGUUCAAGAAGUCUCAUUCAGCACACAUCGCGAUACUUGCUAUCAGUUCCACAGUUUGGGUGAGUAGUCGUAAAUACGCUCUUUUAAUGCCUUUUAUAAAAUGUAUUCUGUCUUAUUUAUUAAUCAGAUUAGUGCCAUAUGUUUAAUCGCUGUAUUAUAUCGGUCAUCCGCGGCUGUCUUUGAGUUUCAUUGCGUUUAAAUAAAUGAACACAGCUGCUAAUUAGUCUGAUUAAACUCUAUCUGUCACCUGACGUGCCAUAGACCUUCGAUCCGUUUUAUAUCAUUAUUAAUUUCAGGAUUAAUGAUGUAAGUUGUAUUUGUAGUAAAAUCAUGGUAAUCACGACACUUACAAUAGUAAUAAAUGAAAUGUGAAGUUAAAACAGUAAACUGGACAUUAGUAACUGUAACUGUAGUUUUACUAUGGUAUAUUAAUAAUCAAUACAACAAUACAAUAAUCACCAAACCAGCUAUGUUUGUAUCACUGUAAUGUUAGUGUUUUUAUGUGCUUUUAUAUGACAGAUAUCACAGAUAAUCAUAUGUUCUGUAGCAUGCUUUUAAUACCUUUUAAUGUAAAUCCAAAAAAAAAUAAAAAAUCAAAUUAAAAAUAAAUAAUAAAACAUGCAUUUUUCCAUCUUGCAGUUCUUUCAUAUCAGUUUAUAUUUAUAUAUAUAUAUAUAUAUAUAUAUAUAUAUAUAUAUAUAUAUAUAUAUAUAUAUAUAUAUAUAUAUAUAUAUAUUUUUUUUUUUUGCUCACAGAUCAUAAUUAACAUUCUGUAUAUAAUUCAAUUUUAUUUACUCUCCCCUUUUUAUUAUUUUUAUUUUUAUUUUUACCUGAAAAGACGUAAAGGCAGUCAGCCCAGUGGUGUUUCUGGAGAGGGAUUCCUUCAGAAAUGGAGAAGACAGAAAGCUGCGGAGGCAGAUAUAUGCAGCAUGUUCGAGUGAGCAUGAUGACCACAAGUGUGUGUCGAACUUUUCAUGACCUGAUGACUGUGUUUCCCAAUCCUGAUCCUGGAGAACCCCAGCACUGCACGGUUUUGGCGUCUCUCUUAUCUGCCUUGGAGUCUUCACUGAUGAGCUGAUGAGUUGAAUCAGGUGUGUUUGAUCAGGGAGACAUCUCAAAUGUGCAGUGUUGGGGUUCUCCAGGACCAGGAUUGGGAGCCACUGCCUUAUGGGACACUUAUGUGUUUACAGAGAUUUUUAAUAACUAAUUAUCAAUAUUUCACAUACUGUACAUUGGACAGCUUCCCAUGACCUCUUGUGAGAUCUCGGCAAAAAGUCUGACGAUUUAUUCCAAAACAUGAUGCAUGAUGGGAUACACUAAGCUUUGUAUAGCGCUCCGGAGCAGUAUUGGAGAGGUUUAGUGUGUGUUAAGGACGCUGUGCUUUGGCAUUAUUAAGACCGGGGACAGUCUCGUUCACACACUGUCACGUACACACACUCUCAAGUGGCCAAGACUGCAAGUGUGGGUAUCUGGACGGGGUCAAAGUCUUAAAAAUGAUCCCUAAACACAUCACAGUCUUAAUAAUCCAGUUUAACACUUGUAUGAUAUUGUACAAGCCCCAGGACGGUCUCAUCUGACACUAUCAUAGAAUUCAUAUGACUAUAGCUUGCUAUUAAUUACUUGCUUUCAAUAAUGGAUGCAUUUAACAUUUAAUUAUACUGCAUCUUUACAGAGGUGUAAUGUACAAGUUGCACGUAAUUAAUAAUAUUUCCUUCUUUCUGUCUUACAGGAUUUUUUGCAGAUAAUCCUAAUGCUGUUCUUCUUUUUCAGGUCUAAAAUAUCAAGCUCAACAGCUCACUCAAGAGCCAACCCUCACAAACCUUCCUAAAAAACUAAAUACUGAGUCUCAGCGAAUCUUGCCAUGAUCAGCUCUUCCCAGGUACAUUUGUUUAGAAUAUUUUUUUUAAUCAACAUUUACUCCUCAAAUGCUCUGGUCUGAAUCUUACUUUAAAUUAACUUAAUUAUGUUUAAUGAGCAAUAUUAAUUGCACACAGAGUAAGUAGAGAUUAUCUUGUUUCACAGAAGAGAAGGAAGACCAAGGAAA
ensembl:lncRNA